rnacentral:lncRNA from 1 species
CAAGAUCAAAAUUAAAAUGUGGAAAAUAGUAAAUAAUUACAUCCCUACCCUUAACAACCUUUAGUCUAGGAAACUGAGGGUAAUAAACAAUUUCCCACUAUGUCACUCAGCGAAAGAAUCGAUAAGCCAUAUUUUCUGGGACUAUGCAUUUGUUAAAAAUAUCCUGCAAGGGGUAGGGAUAGAUGUCUCCCCCAGUCCCCAAGGCCAACA